rnacentral:misc_RNA from 1 species
AAAUCGUAACAAGGUUUCCGUGCGGAAGGAUCAUUAACACGUAUCCAACGUUAAACCUGUGAACUUUUAUACUUGCUCUCCUAGCCCGCCGGAAUUGCAAUCCCUGGUAAAUCAUUGUUGUUGCAAGUGGCCUGUCCCCAAGCAGUCGGUGUCUGGAAGUGUCAUUGAUUGUGUAAGGAUAACGCUUUUCGAUCACUAGAGGCCGAACACCGGCCGGUGACAAGGUCGCCGUGGCUUCGGCCCCCUAGAUUAACCCCACUACCUGAACUCGCCUCGUAGGAAACUGCUGGGCAACAAAACGAACAACUGUUAACAAUGGAUAUCUUGGUUCUC